ACACUACUGAAGAGUCCCACAAUAGGACAAAACGUCCGUCCAGUGC
rfam:Schistosoma rodhaini strain Burundi genome assembly, scaffold: SROB_scaffold0000688